AUUGAACGCUGGCGGCAGGCCUAACACAUGCAAGUCGAACGGUAACAGGAAGCAGCUUGCUGCUUUGCUGACGAGUGGCGGACGGGUGAGUAAUGUCUGGGAAACUGCCUGAUGGAGGGGGAUAACUACUGGAAACGGUAGCUAAUACCGCAUAACGUCGCAAGACCAAAGAGGGGGACCUUCGGGCCUCUUGCCAUCGGAUGUGCCCAGAUGGGAUUAGCUAGUAGGUGGGGUAACGGCUCACCUAGGCGACGAUCCCUAGCUGGUCUGAGAGGAUGACCAGCCACACUGGAACUGAGACACGGUCCAGACUCCUACGGGAGGCAGCAGUGGGGAAUAUUGCACAAUGGGCGCAAGCCUGAUGCAGCCAUGCCGCGUGUAUGGAGAAGGCCUUCGGGUUGUAAAGUACUUUCAGCGGGGAGGAAGGGAGUAAAGUUAAUACCUUUGCUCAUUGACGUUACCCGCAGAAGAAGCACCGGCUAACUCCGUG
rnacentral:rRNA from 1 species